rnacentral:rRNA from 1 species
CGGUAGCGGCGGACGGGUGAGUAACACGUGGGUAAUCUGCCCAACUGACUGGAAUAACGCCUGGAAACGGUGCUAAUGCCGGAUAGGCAACUGGUAGGCAUCUACCGGUUGGGAAAGGUGCAACUGCACCGCAGAUGGAGGAGCCCGCGGCGCAUUAGCUAGUUGGUGGGGUAACGGCCUACCAAGGCGACGAUGCGUAGCCGACCUGAGAGGGUGGACGGCCACACUGGGACUGAGACACGGCCCAGACUCCUACGGGAGGCAGCAGUAGGGAAUCUUCCGCAAUGGGCGCAAGCCUGACGGAGCAACGCCGCGUGAGCGAAGAAGGCCUUCGGGUUGUAAAGCUCAGUCACUCGGGAAGAGCGGACGAGGGAGUGGAAAGCCCUCGUCGAGACGGUACCGAGAGAGGAAGCCCCGGCUAACUACGUG